rnacentral:rRNA from 1 species
UACGUAGGGUGCAAGCGUUGUCCGGAAUUAUUGGGCGUAAAGAGCUCGUAGGCGGUCUGUCGCGUCGGCUGUGAAACCUGGGCGUCACUCCGGGCCUGCAGCCGAUACGGGCAGACUAGAGGUAGGUAGGGGAGAAUGGAAUUCCCGGUGUAGCGGUGAAAUGCGCAGAUAUCGGGAGGAACACCAGUGGCGAAGGCGGUUCUCUGGCCUUACCUGACGCUGAGGAGCGAAAGC